GAUGAACGCUAGCGGCAGGCCUAAUACAUGCAAGUCGAACGGGAUCUGAGGGUAGCUUGCUACCCGAUUUGAGAGUGGCGCACGGGUGCGUAACGCGUGAGCAACCUACCCAUAUCAGGGGGAUAGCCCGAAGAAAAUCGGAUUAACACCGCAUAAUAAUACGCUAACACAUGAUGAUGUAUUUAAAUAUUUAUAGGAUAUGGAUGGGCUCGCGUGACAUUAGCUAGUUGGUAAGGUAACGGCUUACCAAGGCGACGAUGUCUAGGGGCUCUGAGAGGAGAAUCCCCCACACUGGUACUGAGACACGGACCAGACUCCUACGGGAGGCAGCAGUAAGGAAUAUUGGUCAAUGGGCGCAAGCCUGAACCAGCCAUGCCGCGUGCAGGAUGACUGCCCUAUGGGUUGUAAACUGCUUUUGUUAGGGAAUAAACCUUCUUACGUGUAAGGAGCUGAAUGUACCUAAAGAAUAAGGAUCGGCUAACUCCGUGCCAGCCGCCGCGGUAA
rnacentral:rRNA from 1 species